AUGACUACUUCAUGUCUUCUAGGUCGAGUUGGAGAUCCCGGGUCACCCGGCCCGCACGGCCUUAAUGGAGACAGAGGACGGAUGGGAAUACCUGGCGCCCCAGGACUGCCUGGCAGAUCAAUACUCGGACUGCGGGGAGUUGUAGGUCAGAAGGGAGUUCCAGGAUGCAAGGGGGUCAGAGGAGAUCCAGGUCAGAUCUCUACAGAGAAACCCACACCUGGAGAACCUGGAAAACCAGGGCGCCCUGGAUUCAGGGGACCUAAAGGACAGCAAGGUGUUCCAGGUACCAGACAACAGUGUUUCUGUCUCUUAGUGUUGUACACUUGUAGGUACCUGCAGGGCCAGACUGCAGAUAUUAACAGCAGGUAUGGGAUGUGUCACUGUCCCAGUUGAUUUUUUUUCUUAAUAAUCACUCAAAAAAACACCCUUGUUUUUCUCCCACUGACUUCCUGUAUAUCUUUUAAGGUACCUACUGUCUCCCUGGAGCCUCAGGACCACCUGGGGACCCAGGUGUGUCAGGGCCCACAGGGUUUCAGGGCUCACUGGGAAUUAAAGGUCAGUUGUUGGAGAUAUUGACUGAAUUUGUGACUUUUAGAGGGUGGAAGACUGAUGAGCUGCUUUUAGCCUUGAUGUGAAAUAUGUGCACACUCAGGCCACGUCACAUUAGCACAGUUUGGGUUUGCUAAAUGAGGAAAGAAGAGAUUAAAAACUAACACCCCUGUCCACAUUGUGCUACGUGAAUCAUGCAGUGGUCAGUUUAUAAACAUCAACUGAUGAAGUAAUUUAAAAAAGGCAGUCUGACCUUUUUACUGCCAGAAACCAAAGAUAUCAUCACCAUGCUAAAGUCAUCGCUAGCUGUUUCCUUUAGGUUCUCAUUGUAAUUUAUCCAGAUGAGUUUUAUUGGAUGCAACUGGGUUACUUCUGGCUAAUGCUAACUUACCAGCUAACCACUUCCAGCUACCCAAUGAAGAGUAUAACCUUAACUUGCUUCCUCACUCAUGUUGUUGCUGUGAAGCCUUAGACGGUACAUGGAUUUAGCUUUGAGAUGUCGCUCACGGAUGUGUGAAGACUUCAGCUGAGGACGUCACGGUCGCCAGCACUCGUCAUAUUCUGUUUGAUCUUUCGAUAUGUGUCUGAGUGACUCUGAUUGUGAAACCGCACACUGUGGCUCACAAAUUGUGACUGAGGUAUUAACCAAUGAGCAUGCUCCUAAAUAACCCUCCUCUCUUAUUCUAAGAAUGAGCAUAAUUUAUAAAAACAGACUUAAUGUUUUAUUCAAAAUGGCCUCAAACUAGAGAAUGAGUUUGUAAAUGCAUUAAGGAAAUGUGUACUAACGUCUUCAAAGCGAGGGAGCAGAGGGCACUUUUCCCAUACACUUUGAUACAACUGGAAGUCUUUUGCAGUAACAGGUGUCGCCACCUUCAGCUGUGUCCUUCUGUUAUACUGUCUAUAGCAAAGACAUCCUAUUUUGGCCUUGAGUCCUUGUUGCGCCGACAGCCAGUCGUAGUGACGUUAUUAAUCACUCAGAUCAUUUUGCUAAUGUUUGCUGGAAGUGCUCAAUAAGGGUUAGAGAUCGAUCUAACCCUAAUUUCUGUGUUUUAGGUAGUUGUGGUGGCUGUUCUUGUGGCGUUCCUCUUGUACUAAGAGGUGCACCUGGCCCUAUGGGUGACUUGGGAUUUCCAGGGUUCCAAGGAUCCCCCGGACCCACAGGUCCUCGGGGAGAGUACGGUGUUCCCGGAGACACAGGAGAGACUGGUGAGCAGGUAAAGCAACUGAGCAACAAGGUCAGAGGUCAUCUGAGCAGCCACCACUGCUCUGUUUGUUUGACUGACUGCUUUGUUUACAGGGUCGGGCCGGAUUCCCGGGUUUCAAAGGCUUUAAAGGACAGAAAGGAGAUUUAACGGUGGAGGAUAUUGAAGGUGAGUCACAGUCUGUGCAGCUGUCUCCCAGGCACACUUGAACAUUAUUGACAGUAACUUCAACAUAACCUCCUGUGAAUACUGCUCCUUUGUCUCCAGGUGAGAAGGGAAACAAGGGACAGCAGGGCCCUGCAGGCAGACAAGGGUUCCCAGGAAGAAGAGGACAGACUGGGCCCCCAGGGGUCCCUGGAAAUCCCGGUUUCCAGGUCAGUCGGGUUAGAAGAUAGGAGGAAUGAGGAUUGGAGGGUGUUGUUCAAGACUGGAAAGAGCGAAAUAUGAGAAGCAAUAAUGUGAAAGAGUUUC
ensembl:lncRNA